rnacentral:rRNA from 1 species
GAUGAACGCUAGCGGCAGGCUUAAUACAUGCAAGUCGAGGGGCAGCAUGGUGUAGCAAUACACUGAUGGCGACCGGCAAACGGGUGCGGAACACGUACAGAACCUUCCUUCGAGCGGGGAAUAGCCCAGAGAAAUUUGGAUUAAUACCCCAUAGUACAACGGAGUGGCAUCACUUUGUUGUUAAAGAUUUAUCACUUGAAGAUGGCUGUGCGGCUGAUUAGGUAGUUGGCGGGGUAACGGCCCACCAAGCCUGCGAUCAGUAACUGGUGUGAGAGCACGACCAGUCACACGGGCACUGAGACACGGGCCCGACUCCUACGGGAGGCAGCAGUAAGGAAUAUUGGUCAAUGGACGAAAGUCUGAACCAGCCAUGCCGCGUGGAGGAUGAAGGUCCUCUGGAUUGUAAACUUCUUUUAUAUGGGACGAAAAAAGGCCUUUCUAGGUCGUCUGACGGUACCAUAUGAAUAAGCACCGGCUAACUCCGUGCCAGCAGCCG